rnacentral:rRNA from 1 species
GCCUGAUGCAGCAACGCCGCGUGAGGGACGACGGCCUUCGGGUUGUAAACCUCUUUUAGCAGGGAAGAAGCGAAAGUGACGGUACCUGCAGAAAAAGCGCCGGCUAACUACGUGCCAGCAGCCGCGGUAAUACGUAGGGCGCAAGCGUUAUCCGGAAUUAUUGGGCGUAAAGAGCUCGUAGGCGGUUUGUCGCGUCUGCUGUGAAAACUGGAGGCUCAACCUCCAGCCUGCAGUGGGUACGGGCAGACUAGAGUGCGGUAGGGGAGAUUGGAAUUCCUGGUGUAGCGGUGGAAUGCGCAGAUAUCAGGAGGAACACCGAUGGCGAAGGCAGAUCUCUGGGCCGUAACUGACGCUGAGGAGCGAAAGGGUGGGGAGCAAAACAGGCUUAGAUACCCUGGUAGUCCACCCCGUAAACGUUGGGAACUAGUUGUGGGGUCCAUUCCACGGAUUCCGUGACGCAGCUAACGCAUUAAGUUCCCCGCCUGGGGAGUACGGCCGCAAGGCUAAACUCAAGGAAUUGACGGGGACCCCCACAAGCGGCGAACAUGCGGAUUAAUUCGAUGCAACCCGAAAACCCUUACCAAGGCUUGAAAUUUACGAAAACGGGCUUAAAAUAUUCAACUUUUUGAACCCUCGUUAAACAGGUGGUGCAUGGUUGUCGUCAGCUCGUGUCGUGAGAUGUUGGGUUAAGUCCCGCAACGAGCGCAACCCUCGUUCUAUGUUGCCAGCACGUAAUGGUGGGAACUCAUGGGAUACUGCCGGGGUCAACUCGGAGGAAGGUGGGGAUGACGUCAAAUCAUCAUGCCCCUUAUGUCUUGGGCUUCACGCAUGCUACAAUGGCCGGUACAAAGGGCUGCAAUACCGUAAGGUGGAGCGAAUCCCAAAAAGCCGGUCCCAGUUCGGAUUGAGGUCUGCAACUCGACCUCAUGAAGUCGGAGUCGCUAGUAAUCGCAGAUCAG